rfam:Bathycoccus prasinos genomic : Mitochondrion.
GGGAGUGUAGUUCAAUUGGCAGAACGCAUGCUUUGCAAGCAUGAAGUUAUCGGUUCAAGUCCGAUCAUUUCCA